rnacentral:misc_RNA from 1 species
GAUGAAGAACGCAGCGAAAUGCGAUAAGUAAUGCGAAUUGCAGAAUUUCCGUGAGUCAUCGAAUCUUUGAACGCACAUUGCGCCCGCCAGUAUUCUGGCGGGCAUGCCUGUUCGAGCGUCAUUUCAACCAUCAAGCCCCCGGGCUUGUGUUGGGGACCUGCGGCUGCCGCAGGCCCUGAAAAGCAGUGGCGGGCUCGCUGUCACACCGAGCGUAGUAGAUUUUAUCUCGCUCAGGGCGUGCUGCGGGUUCCGGCCGUUAAACCACCUUCAUAACCCAAGGUUGACCUCGGAUCAGGUAGGAAGACCCGCUGAACUUAAGCAUAUCAAUAAGCGGAGGA